UAUGGUUGUGGUGGUGUAUAUGAGAAGAAGAAAAAUCUAUGUAAAAUCUUAGCCAAAAGUUGGCAGUGGAGAGAGAGAGAGAUAUGUGGUUGGUGUAGCAUUGUCAAAAGGCUUCACGUGGAUAUUUUUUAACAUCUCAAAUUAAAAGCCAAUGAAUAAUGGGAGAAGGUGCGUGGCACUAAUAUAUUGGCAAGAAGGAAGAUAUUUUAAUUUCUCAAUUUUAAAAAACUCAAAUUUUGAAUGAAAACAAAAA
rnacentral:lncRNA from 1 species